rnacentral:lncRNA from 1 species
UGAGACUGAGGUAGGGACAGAGGUGUUUACUAUAUAUUAUAAUAUGCUUCAGAAAGAUUUUUCAAUUGUGCUAACUACUCAUUAAUUCUCUAUGAAGUUAGAUUCUGUAGAGUUCUUGGGUGCUACUGGUGUGUUUUCCUGGAGACAGAAGAUGUGGUAUCAGUGGCACAGAUCUCUAACCAUCUCUAUACACCUUUUUAUCCCAGCACAUGAGAUUCCUGGUGUCACAAGAUUUUGAUGCAGAUGACUGCAGCCGAAGAGCCAGCUCUCCGUAGCUGAUGUGAGGAGCUGUGCCCAGCAGGCAUGGUCUGGGAGCAGGAGGGAGGCACCAUCUUCCCAGCAGUGUGAGUUGAAGGCAUCCAGAGCAGUGGAAUGUCAGCACAUGAGAUUCCUGGUGUCACAAGAGUUUGACAGACGACUGCAGCCGAAGAGCCAGCUCUCCGUACGUGAGGAGCUGUGCCCAGCACGCGUGGUCUGGGAGCAGGAGGGAGGCAGCAUCUUCCCAGCAGUGUGAGCUGAAGGCAUCCAGAGCAGUGGAAUGUCAGUGUAUUCAUUCGGAACUAAGAAGGUAUAAAGAGAAGUCAUCUUUUCAUAUUGCUCAGAAAUGCCUAACAAAGAAAUAUGCUGUUUAUCCUGAAGAAAGGAAUUCUAAAUGGCAGGAUAACAAUGAGACGAUACCAGUUCGCCAAUAAAUAUCUGGAGGCAGC